rnacentral:rRNA from 1 species
GAUGAACGCUGGCGGCGUGCCUAAUACAUGCAAGUCGAACGAGGUUAGACUCGUCUAACCUAGUGGCGAACGGGUGAGUAACACGUAGGUAACCUGCCCUUCAGUUGGGAAUACCUAGAGGAAACUUUAGUUAAUACCGAAUAAUUACGAGGAAGGCAUCUUCCUUUUAUAAAAGCAGCAAUUGCUGCGCUGAUGGAUGGACCUGCGGCGCAUUAGCUAGUUGGUAGGGUAACGGCCUACCAAGGCUCGGAUGCGUAGCCGACCUGAGAGGGUGAUCGGCCACAAUGGGACUGAGACACGGCCCAUACUCCUACGGGAGGCAGCAGUAGGGAGUUUUCGGCAAUGGGGGAACCCUGACCGAGCAACGCCGCGUGAACGAUGAAGGUCUUCGGAUCGUAAAGUUCUGUUGUAGUUAGGGAAAGUGCGGGAGAGUGGAAAGCUCUCGUUUUGACCCGACUACCAGAAAGCCACGGCUAACUACGUGCCAGCAGCCGCGGUAACUAGUGUGUGUA